rnacentral:lncRNA from 10 species
AAGGACUUUACAGCUUCUCUUUCGCAUAUCCAAAUUGCCAGCAUCACCGCUCUUGCACUCCAAGCCAUUAUUAAGUAAAGUAAAGAACACAAACACUGUGAUACUGCUACACUUGAUCUGAUAACCAAGAAGUCUACUAAGUGACUAACAGAGCAACUGGGAACCUAAUUCUGACCAAAAAGGAGGAAUUGUUUGGCUAAUUGGAAGUGACAGAAACCUUGGGAGAAAGCAACCGCAUACCAAGGAUAAUUAUAAGAAGAAGAGAAGACAUGGAGAAGAGGAGGGAGUAGUUGUGACCGUGGAGGCAGAGAAUGGAGUAAUGUGAUCAUAAAUCAAGGAAUGCUGACAGCCACUAAAGCUGGAGAAGGCCAAGGACAGAUAUUCAAUCCUCCCGUAGAAGUACAGCCCUGCUAAUGCAUUGAUUUUGGACUUCUGGCCUCAGAACUGUAAGAGAAUAAAUUUCUAUUGUUUUAAGCCUUCAGUUUGUGGUAGUUUGUUACAGAAACCCUGUAAAGUUAAUACACAGAGUUCAAAGAGAAUCCGGUAAUAUCUCUAAAAGACUCGUGUAUUAGUCAGGAUUCUCCAGAGAAGCAAAGCCAAUAGAAUGAUACAUGUUGUUAAAGCAAAUUAAAAUGGAGACCAUGCCUGAAGAAUCUCUGUGCAGAGAAACCCAGUUAGGCCUCAUAAGUUAACCUUACUUGAUUUGCAAACAUAAUCUAAAAGUUAACUGGAGCUAUUUCCGGUAAAUGAAUAUAACACAACUUAAGCUCAAUCAGUCAGAAGCAGCUUUAUAAUUAUGUAGCUAGGGACUUUCCAAGAGGAUGACCAAAGAAGGAAAUGAUAUAACUAUAACCAAAUAAAUAUUUUCUUUGCUUUCCUGUUCCUCCUAUAAAAGCCUCCCCACUGCUGAGCUGUGCUCAGCAGAGCUCCGAAACAACUUCUGGUUUAGAGUUGCCCGAUUUGUGAAUCACUGUUUGCUCAAAUAAACUCUUUAAAAUUUUAUUGUAUCUCAGGUUAUCUUUUUUAGAUAGAUAGAUGAUAUAUGAUAGAUAGAUAGAUAGAUAGAUAGAUAGAUAGAUAGAUAGAUAAUAGAUAGAUAGAUAGAUUAUUUAUUAUGGGAAUUGGCUCAAUCACAGAGACCCAAGAUCUGCCGUCUGCAAACUGGAGAACCAGGAAAGCCAGUGGUGUAAUCAAGUUCAAAGGGCUGAGAACCAGGAGAAUCAAUAACUUAAUACCCAAUGUAAUAAGGCCUGAGAAUGUGGGGUAGGGAUGCUAGUAUAAGUCCUAGAGUCUGACUACUGCAGAACCAGGAGUUCUGAUGUCCAAGGGUAGGAGAAGAUGGAGGUCCUAAAUCAAGAAUAAAGCAAAUUCACCUUUUCUUUGCCCUUUUUGUUCUAUUUGGGCAGGCCUCCAGUGAAUUGGAUGAUGCCCACCCACACUGGUAGAGCAGAUCUUUAGUCAGUCUUGAUUCAAAUGCUAAUUUCUUCACAGAGGCACACAGAAAUACUGUUUUAUCAUCUAUCUGGAUAGCCCUUAACACAGCCAAG